rnacentral:rRNA from 1 species
CUGGGCCAUAACUGACGCUGAGAAGCGAAAGCAUGGGGAGCGAACAGGAUUAGAUACCCUGGUAGUCCAUGCCGUAAACGUUGGGCUCUAGGUGUGGGACUCAUUCCACGAGUUUCCGUNCCGUCAGCGUAACGUCAGUUAAGUCGUCCCCGUCCUGGGGAGUUACGGCCGUCAAGGUCUAAAACUCAAAGGUAAUUGACGGGGGCCCGCACAAGCGGCGGAGCAUGCGGAUUAAUUGAGC